AGAGACCGAGGGGGAGACGCACGAAGCUCCGUUCCCGGUUCCGACUUCCCCCUUCCAGCUCUUUCGCACAAACGCGCUGGGAUUUUGCUCUAAACCCCUACCCCGGUCGCGGCCUAGUUACUGAAGCCCAGGGUAAAGGGAUGGCCGUUCCGCUGCUUCUUGAAAAACCUCCCCAACUCCCACUGACACCCUACUACGACACAGGGGUGAACUUUUUGUUCUUAACUCCUCGGAUCAUACGGCCGGUGAAGAUGGGGGACAUCGAGAACAACCCAAGACUGGCUCUGAAAUCCGGAAGGCCCUCGCCGGGCACCGAGACCCAAACGAGGCGGGGUACUUCCCGGGUAUUUUCAUACGUUGCAAACCUAGGAGGCUUUUUUUUUUCCCUUUUUCUUUUUUGUAACAUUCCCCUUCGCCCCCAUCCCGCUUUAGCUUCAGGGUUGCAAAAGCAAAGC
rnacentral:lncRNA from 1 species